CGGCACGGGUGAGUAAUACAUCGGAACGUGUCUUCUAGUGGGGGAUAACUGCCCGAAAGGGCAGCUAAUACCGCAUGAGACCUGAGGGUGAAAGCGGGGGAUCGUAAGACCUCGCGCUGGAAGAGCGGCCGAUGUCCGAUUAGCUAGUUGGUGAGGUAAAGGCUCACCAAGGCGACGAUCGGUAGCUGGUCUGAGAGGACGACCAGCCACACUGGGACUGAGACACGGCCCGG
rnacentral:rRNA from 1 species